CCCGGAUUCCUACCUUGCUCUAACUUUUGUUUUUUUUGUUCUCUUUGAUCUCAUGAAUUCCAAGCGCUCCGGAGUCCCUUCCCUGUUAGAUAUCUUCUAUCUGUUGGAGAGUUGCAAGGCAGUACUCUAUUUUUUUUUUCAUUGUUCUUUGCUUUCGGCUUCACAAGCUUCGGCGCUCCGGAACUCUUCGUCCUAUUCCCUUCGCAUUGUAGAAGGGCUGUGGUGCAGCACUUCUGGAUCUCAAUUUUUUUCUAACUUUUGAUCAUCUAGGGUUUUGACGGUCAAGGAGUGCUCUCGAUCUUUGCUAUCUGGGCACCAUUGUCAACAUAGGAAGUGCCGCAACUCAAAGAGCUGUGCUAUGGUUUGUUUCCUAGAUUUUGGAUGCGACUGAAGAGCAAGAUUGUGGUGCGGCAAGGGUUCGUGCGAUGUUGCGAUGAUUGUAGACGAGGGUCGUGGCGGCAAGUUGGUUGAAGGUGGUCGGCAGGGAUUUGUUAUGCUUAUGGGCUCAUUCCGUGCAUAGAGAAAAUUUACAAGUGAUAACAUAUGCGGCGGUAUUGCUAGGUUGGUGUUGCAAAAGGCGGAGCGCCGUAAAUCUGUGUCCUUCUUACUUGCGACGGUGCAGCAAGUGUGGAUUGAUUUCCUCUUGUCAUUGCAGUUCUUUUUUCCUGUGGCGUAUUGCGAUAAGGCAAAAACAUGUUCAUGCUGCAUUGGAGCUGCUGCAUUUGCUCCUAGUUUGACGUGGUGUUGGUUGCGUGCAUAAAGGUGCGGCGUAGCUACGAUCUUCACGUUGGUUAUCAAAGCAGUGCAGUCAACUUGGAGGUGAUGCAAUACAAGUAUUGUUGCUGUGACGUGGAAUAGUAUUGGAUUUUCAAUGGCAGUGGCUAGUACUUAUCUUGAAGAAGGAGCUUUGCUUAAGUCGGCAGCAAGGUGCGACUUGCGGCCAAUGGUUGGCGCAUCUUGAAUUCUUCUCUUCAAGUGAUUCCUCGUGGAGCCCUUCUUCGAUAUCGUCUUGGUGGUAGUAUCGUCGUUUUUUUUCUUCCACGUUCAUCUCCUUGAUUCCGUCCUAUGAUAUUCGUUAAUGCCAAUCUCAAUUUUUUUUUUAAAUUGUUGAUCUUUAUCGCUUCACAGUUACCUUUCCAUUGUUGAUUUAUUUAGCAUUGCAUUCUGGAACCAUCAAGGAAGAACCAAGUCAACGCUGCCUUAGAGUCUAGAUAAGGAUUAGUAGCCAUUGUCGAAUUCUAUGUGUAAUAACAAGAUCCAAGCUGCUGUAGUAUUCUUCACCGUCUGCACCAUGCUAAUCACUACCCCGACUCCUCUUCGAUUCUGCAUUGUUCUAUUUUUUUUCAUUGCCAAGCUCAUUCAAUGCUGUUGCAGAUCAAGCUUCCAAACGUCAUGAUAGUAAGUAACCACAUUAGGUAGUAGGAAGGGACUAGGUAGAGAUUAGUGCACGAUCUACUCUGUGUAGAGAACGUCGAUCGUGAGUAGAUAAGUGAGGGAAGUAAGAUUCUAAGGAGCUCAGGUGGACCAACAUAGACCUGCUAAAGCUCAGCACCAGACCCAAGGCGGUGGACGAUGUUGUAUUUCUAAAGUCCUCAACAUUGUGGAUUUUAAGAGGUCUAGGCCACAUCAAAAAUUAAAUUGAAAUUUCCAAGGUAAUAUCAUCGAAUUGGAGGAAAA